GCAUAGCUACUCAGUAAAAUAUUCUGCAGUUUUAAAAUUAUAAUUAUGAAAGCUAUAUAGCAAUAUGGGAAAUGCUUACAAUGUCAUGUUAAGUGGGAAAAAAUACAGUACUGCAUUAAAUUUAGGUUAUGGCUGUAGCUAUGCCAAAAUAAUGUAUGUAUCUGGAUGAGAAACAGAAACAAUUUUGAAAAAUGAAGAUAAAGUGAUUUGCUGGGAUAUCAAGAUUAUGGGUAAAAACUUCUCUAUUUCAGCCUGCAUUUCUUAGUUGAUAUUUACCAUAUACAAUCUGUCACUUGUAUGAGAUGGCAGGGGGUUCUGUGCUAUUUGUCCUUGUUGAUCAGCUACAGACCAUCAACAGUGUUGAUUGAGAAUUGAACAAAAACAUUUCAAGGAGUUUGGGAACAUUAGUGAUGCUAUUCUGUGGCCCCAUGUGUCCUUCUCUCAUUUUUCUAGAGAACUCCUAUAAGAAAGCAGAACACAGCCAGGCAUGGUGGCUCACGCCUGUAAUCCCAGCACUUCAGGAGGCUGAGGCAGGCAGAUCACCUGAGGUCAGGAGUUCAAGACCAGCCUGGCCA
rnacentral:lncRNA from 1 species